rnacentral:SRP_RNA from 1 species
GCUGGGUGUGGUGGCGCAUGCCUGUAGUCCCAGCUACUCAGGAGGCUGAGGCAGAAGAAUCGCUUGAACCAGGGAGGCGGAGGUUGCCGUGAGCCGAGAUCGGGCCACUGCACUCCAGCCUGGGUGACAGAGCGAGACUCUGUCUCAA